ACAGCAGCAGCCGCGGUAAUACGGAGGGUGCAAGCGUUAAUCGGAAUUACUGGGCGUAAAGCGCACGCAGGCGGUCUGACAAGUCAGAUGUGAAAUCCCCGGGCUUAACCUGGGAACUGCAUUUGAAACUGUCAGGCUGGAGUCUUGUAGAGGGGGGUGGAAUUCCAGGUGUAGCGGUGAAAUGCGUAGAGAUCUGGAGGAAUACCGGUGGCGAAGGUGGCCCCCUGGACAAAGACUGACGCUCAGGUGCGAAAGCGUGGGGAGCAAACAGGAUUAGAUACCCGCGUAGUCCCUGUCUCUUAUAC
rnacentral:rRNA from 1 species